rnacentral:tRNA from 1 species
CCUACUGUAGCUCAGCGGUCAAGAGCCGUCGACUUAUGGAAGAGUCAUGUUAGAUGGAAUGAAGGGGCAGAACCUUCCUCUUCUCCCAAAUCGACAGGUCGUCAGUUCAAAUCUGACCAGUAGGCCCA